UGCAGCUUUUGCUGCCCUAUUGGAUAACUUCGCUAACGCGAAGCUAAUACAUGUAAGCACAGCGAGCAAUCCUUACGGCCGGUUUACCGGUUCGAUUGUCUCGUGCUAAUGGUUGGAACAAAGACCACCGCCAGCAAUGGCAGUUUUUUGUAAAGCGUUGACUCAAACCAUUUAGCAAAAGCAUGCUUCGGCAUGCGUGCCCCGAUGAAUUUCUGACCUAUCAGCUUUGACGGUAGUGUAGUGGACUACCGUGGCGAUCACGGGUACGGGGAAUUAGGGUUCGAUUCCGGAGAGGGAGCCUGAGAAACAGCUACCACUUCUACGGAGGGCAGCAGGCGCGUAAAUUGCCCAAUGCCAAAUUUGGUGAGGCAGCGAAGAGAAAUAGCGACCCAGACCUUCGGGUAUGGGAUCGGAAUGAGUGGUAUUUAAAACCACCAACGAGUAACAAUUGGAGGACAAGUCUGGUGCCAGCACCCGCGGUAAUUCCAGCUCCAAUAGCGUAUAUUAAUGUUGUUGCUGUUAAAGGGUUCGUAGUUGAACGCAGGGUUUGGGAGUUGUGUGGCCAUUUGUGGCCAUCACGCCAUCCCAUCCCUGUUUUUUAGACGGGAUCGAUUGCCUUGCCUUGGUGGCUCCUUUUUUGGACGUUGCCUUGGCUGUUGAGUGAAGAGCUCAAAUGUACACAUGACCACAUGUUACAGGCCGCCCGUCGUUAUCACUGUGAAGAAAACAGCGUGUUCAAGGCAGCCGCCUCGCGGCUGAAUGACAAAGCAUGGAAUGACAAAGCAUCGACCAAUGGGUCUGGCUUUUGUUGGUUUUUACAACCCAUUUGGACAUUUCGUGAUCGGUAAUCGCGAUCCACUUCGGUGGACUCCGAUUCCGAGCAGACACGGGAUUAAUGGGGGUUGUCGGGGGAAAACGUAUCUGAGCGAGAGAGGUGAAAUUCUUAGACCGCUCGGGGACGAACUUAUGCGAAGGCAUUUUCCAAGUAUACCUUCAUCAAUCAAGAACUAAAGUGUGGAGAUCGAAGAUGAUUAGAUACCAUUGUAGUCCACGACUGCAAACGAUGACGCCCAUGGAUCGGGAGUGAAUACUCACCCUCCGCGAUGGGAUUUUUUCGGCGCUGCUCUACCCUAUUAACGCGAAAGCUGAGGCUAUGGUCUCAUGGGGGAGUACGUCCGCAAGGAUGAAACUUAAAGAAAUUGACGGAAUGGCACCACCAGGCGUGGAGUGUGCGGUUUAAUUUGACUCAACACGGGGAACCUUACCAGUACAGGAAAACGCAAGGAUUGACAGAUUGAUAGUUCUUUCUUGAUUCGUUUGACGGUGGUGCAUGGCCGCUUUUGGUCGGUGAAGUGAUUUGUUUGGUUGAUUCCUUUAACGGACGAGACCCAAACCGCUUAAUAGGGGCACCAUCUGCCUUCGGGCAUGCGGGGCUGGGGUGAGAUUUCGGUCUUUGCUCUGGCCUCAGAUGGCGAUACUCCUUCUUCGCGGCAUUCCCUGCUCCUUAGCUGGGUGGAAUUUUGGGCAACAGCAGGUCCGUGAUGCUCCUAAAUGUACUGGGCGACACGCGCACUACAAUGACAAAGUGAAUGAGUGAAACCUUCUUUGGUCCUGCCUCGAAAAGGGGUGGGAAAACUGGAAAAACUAUGUCGUGCUAGGGAUCGAAGCUUGCAAUUAUUCUUCGUGAACGAGGAAUGCCUAGUAGAUGUGCUUCAUCAAAGCGCAUUGACUACGUCC
rnacentral:rRNA from 1 species